UUAUACAGCGAAACUGCGAAUGGCUCAUUAUAUAAGUUAUCGUUUAUUUGAUAGUACCUUACUACUUGGAUAACCGUGGUAAUUCUAGAGCUAAUACAUGCUAAAAAUCCCGACUUCGGAAGGGAUGUAUUUAUUAGAUUAAAAACCAAUGCCCUCUGGGCUCUCUGGUGAUUCAUGAUAACUUCUCGAAUCGCAUGGCCUUGCGCCGGCGAUGGUUCAUUCAAAUUUCUUCCCUAUCAACUUUCGAUGUUUGGGUAGUGGCCAAACAUGGUUGCAACGGGUAACGGAGGGUUAGGGCUCGACCCCGGAGAAGGAGCCUGAGAAACGGCUACUACAUCCAAGGAAGGCAGCAGGCGCGCAAAUUACCCAAUCCCGAUUCGGGGAGGUAGUGACAAUAAAUACUGAUACAGGGCUCUUUUGGGUCUUGUAAUUGGAAUGAGUACAAUUUAAAUCCCUUAACGAGGAACAAUUGGAGGGCAAGUCUGGUGCCAGCAGCCGCGGUAAUUCCAGCUCCAAUAGCGUAUAUUAAAGUUGUUGUGGUUAAAAAGCUCGUAGUUGAACCUUGGGCCUGGCUGGCCGGUCCGCCUCACCGCGUGUACUGGUCCGGCCGGGCCUUUCCCUCUGUGGAACCCCAUGCCCUUCACUGGGUGUGGCGGGGAAACAGGACUUUUACUUUGAAAAAAUUAGAGUGCUCCAGGCAGGCCUAUGCUCGAAUACAUUAGCAUGGAAUAAUAAAAUAGGACGCGCGGUUCUAUUUUGUUGGUUUCUAGGACCGCCGUAAUGAUUAAUAGGGACAGUCGGGGGCAUCAGUAUUCAAUUGUCA
rnacentral:rRNA from 2 species